ACACAUGCAAGUCGAGGGGCAGCAUGAACUUAGCUUGCUAAGUUUGAUGGCGACCGGCGCACGGGUGAGUAACACGUAUCCAACCUGCCGAUGACUCGGGGAUAGCCUUUCGAAAGAAAGAUUAAUACCCGAUGGCAUAGUUCUUCCGCAUGGUAGAACUAUUAAAGGAUUUCGGUCAUCGAUGGGGAUGCGUUCCAUUAGGUUGUUGGCGGGGUAACGGCCCACCAAGCCUUCGAUGGAUAGGGGUUCUGAGAGGAAGGUCCCCACAUUGGAACUGAGACACGGUCCAAACUCCUACGGGAGGCAGCAGUGAGGAAUAUUGGUCAAUGGACGAGAGUCUGAACCAGCCAAGUAGCGUGAAGGAUGACUGCCCUAUGGGUUGUAAACUUCUUUUAUACGGGAAUAAAGUGAGGCACGUGUGCCUUUUUGUAUGUACCGUAUGAAUAAGGAUCGGCUAACUCCGUGCCAGCAGCCGCGGUAAUACGGAGGAUCCGAGCGUUAUCCGGAUUUAUUGGGUUUAAAGGGAGCGUAGGCGGACGCUUAAGUCAGUUGUGAAAGUUUGCGGCUCAACCGUAAAAUUGCAGUUGAUACUGGGCGUCUUGAGUACAGUAGAGGCAGGCGGAAUUCGUGGUGUAGCGGUGAAAUGCUUAGAUAUCACGAAGAACUCCGAUUGCGAAGGCAGCUUGCUGGACUGUAACUGACGCUGAUGCUCGAAAGUGUGGGUAUCAAACAGGAUUAGAUACCCUGGUAGUCCACACAGUAAACGAUGAAUACUCGCUGUUUGCGAUAUACAGUAAGCGGCCAAACGAAAGCGUUAAGUAUUCCACCUGGGG
rnacentral:rRNA from 1 species